rnacentral:rRNA from 1 species
AGAGUUUGAUCCUGGCUCAGAUUGAACGCUGGCGGCAUGCCUUACACAUGCAAGCCGAACGCGAAAGGGGGCAACCCUGAGUAGAGUGGCGAACGGGUGAGCAAUACAUCGGAACAUGUCCUGUAGCGGGGGACAACCCCGAGAAAUCGGGGCUAAUACCGCAUACGAUCCAAGGAUGAAAGUGGGGGACCGCAAGGCCCCACACUAUAGGGAGUGGCCGAUGUCGGAUUAGCUAGUUGGCGGGGUAAAAGCCCACCAAGGCGACGAUCCGUAGCUGGUUUGAGAGAACGACCAGCCACACUGGGACUGAGACACGGCCCAGACUCCUACGGGAGGCAGCAGUGGGGAAUUUUGGACAAUGGGCGAAAGCCUGAUCCAGCCAUGCCGCGUGAGUGAAGAAGGCCUUCGGGUUGUAAAGCUCUUUCGGCGGGGACGAAAUGGCGCGGGGUAACAUCCCGCGUCGAUGACG